AAAGGAAGCGAUUCCGGCGGGGGAUGGGCAUGCGGCGCAUUAGCUAGUCGGCGGGGUAACGGCCCACCGAGGCGACGAUGCGUAGGGGUUCUGAGAGGAAGGUCCCCCACACUGGUACUGAGACACGGACCAGACUCCUACGGGAGGCAGCAGUGAGGAAUAUUGGUCAAUGGGCGGGAGCCUGAACCAGCCAAGUCGCGUGAGGGAAGACGGUCCUAUGGAUUGUAAACCUCUUUUGCCGGGGAGCAACGGGGUCCUUGCGAGGGCCUUAUGAGAGUACCCGGAGAAAAAGCAUCGGCUAACUCCGUGCCAGCAGCCGCGGUAAUACGGAGGAUGCGAGCGUUAUCCGGAUUUAUUGGGUUUAAAGGGUGCGUAGGCGGGCUGUUAAGUCAGCGGUCAAAUGUCGGGGCUCAACCCCGGCCUGCCGUUGAAACUGGCGGCCUCGAGUGGGCGAGAAGUAUGCGGAAUGCGUGGUGUAGCGGUGAAAUGCAUAGAUAUCACGCAGAACUCCGAUUGCGAAGGCAGCAUACCGGCGCCCGACUGACGCUGAGGCACGAAAGCGUGGGUAUCGAACAGGAUUAGAUACCCUGGUAGUCCACGCAGUAAACGAUGAAUGCUAGCUGUCCGGUUCUACGGGACUGG
rnacentral:rRNA from 1 species